rnacentral:lncRNA from 1 species
GAAAGAUUCUGCUCACCAAAGAUACUGCUACGAGGGGCUAGAACUGUAGCUCAGUGCUGGAGCACUUGCCUACCAUGUGUGAGGCACAAGGUUCAAUCCUCAGCACCAUGGCAUGUUCCUAUAAUCUCAGACUCAGCAGACUGGGGCAGGAAGUUUGCAAGUUUGAGGCCAGACUGGGCAACUUAGCAAGACCCUGUCUCAAAAUUUAAAAAGAGGGCUGAGGAUGAAGGUUACCCCCAGCACCACACCAAAAAAAAAAAAAAAACAGAAGACAGGGAUAAAUCAUCAUGACCUUGGUUUAGGCAAAGCUUUCCUAGGCACAACACCAAAAGUAGAAGUGACAAAAGAAAAGACACCCUCAUAAUAUAAAAUGACAACUCACUGAAUGAUAGAUAAUAUUUGCAAAUUAUUUAUCUAAUAACAGAAUUGUAUCCAGAACACUUUUUGUAACUCAAUAACAAAAAAGACAAGUCAAUUGAAAAAUUGGCCAAAGAUCUGAACAGAUAUUUCCCCAAAGAAUUAAAAAAUAGCCAAUGGAAAGAUGAAAAAAUGCUCAAUAUAAUUAGGCAUUAAGGAAAAAUAAGUCAAAAUCACACAAACCACUCUACACGCAACAUAGCUUAUAAACCAAAAGAGACAAUAACAGAUUUGGUGAGGAUGUAAAUAAAUUGGAACCCUUGUAUCUUGGUGGGAAUGUAACAUGG